UCACGUUCACUCUGUAAUGGCUGGGGGCUUCAGUAAAAUACUUAAUCUCCCUAAGCCAGUUUUUUCAUCUGUAAAACGGAGCUAAUAAUAACAGUCUUACCUUGUGUAAAUGGCACAGAAUUAUUAUGUUUUCUGUGAUUUACAAAGAGCAUAUAUGAAUUUAAUAAUCAGAAAAGAUGGCAUUCUAGAUUUAAUCUCUAAUAAACCUAAUUUCAAUGGUGGGACAUUUAAUGCAAAUUUUCAUCAGAAAGGAAAGGGAUGGAGGAAAGUUUACCAAGCAAAUGGAAAAUAGAAACAAAUGGGUUAUAAUCGUAAUUUCUGACAAAACAGACUUUAAACCAACAAAGACCAAAAAAAGACAAAGAAAGACAUUACAUAAUGGUAAAGCGUUCAAUUCAGCAAGAAGAGCUAACUAUCCUAAAUAUAUAUGCACCCAAUACAGGAACACCCAGAUUCAUAAUGCAGAUUCUUAGGGACUUUCAAGGACACUUAGACUUCCACACAAUAAUAGUGGGAGACUUUAACAUCCCCCUGACAAUAUUAGAUAGAUCACCAAGACAGAAAACUAACAAAGAUAUUCAGGACCUGAACUCAGCUCUUGAUCAGGUGGACCUGAUAAAUAUCUACAGAACUCUUCACCCCAAAACAACAGGAUAUACAUUCUUCUCAUCGCCACAUGGCACUUACUCUAAAAUUGAUCACAUAAUCAGAAGUAAAACACUCCUCAGCAAAUCCAAAAAAAAAAAAAAUGAAACAUAGCAGUCUCUCAGACCACAGCACAAUCAAACUAUAACUCAAGAUUAAGAAAUUCACUGAAAACCAUACUGCUACAUGGAAAUUCAGCAAUCUUCUCCCUGAGUUACUUUUGGGUAAAUAAUGAAAUUGAGGAAGAAAUCAAGAAGUUUAUUGAAACUAAUGAGAAGAAAGAUACAACAUAGCAGAAUCUCUGGGAUGCAGCUAAAGCAGCGUUAAGAGGGAAAUUUAUAGCACUAAAUACCCACAUCAAAAAGCUAGAAAGAUCUAAAGUUAGUAACCUAACCUCACAGCUAAAAAACUAGAGAACGAACAGCAAACAAACCCUACAGCUAGCAGAAAAUAAGAAAUGACCAAGAUCAGAGCUGAACUUAAGGAGACAGAGACAUGACAAAUCCUUCAAAAUGUCAACAAAUCCAGGAGCUGUAUAUUUUUUGAAAAAAAUAAUAAAAUAGAUCAUUAGCUAGACUAAUAGAGAAGAAAAGAGAGAUGAUUCAAAUAAACACAAUCAGAAAUGAUCAGGAGGAUAUUAACAUUGACUCCCCAGAAAUACAACCAUCAGAGAAUACUAUAAACAUCUCUAUGCACAUAAACUAGAAAAUCUAAAAGAAAUGGAUACAUUCCUGAACACAUACACCCUCACAAGUCUGAAUCAAGAAGAAACUGAAUCCCUAAAUAGAGAAAUAAUAAGCUCUGAAAUACACGCAGUAAUAAAUAGUCUAGCAAAAAAAAAAAAGCCCAGGACAAGACAAAUUUACAGCUUAGUAAUACCAGAGGUACAAAGAAAAGCUGGUACCAUUCCUACUGAAACUAUUUCAAAAUAUUGAAAAGGGAGGAUUCCUCCCUAGCUCAUUCUACGAGGCCAGCAUGAUCCUGACACAAAAACAUGGCAGAGAUACAGCAAAAAAGAAAACUUCUGACCAAUACCUUUGAUAAACAUUGGUGCAAAAAUCCUAAACAAAUGCCAGGCACUGUGGUUCAUGCCUGUAAUCCCAGCACUUUGGGA